rnacentral:piRNA from 1 species
UAGGAGCGCCCAAGAGAACAUAUCUCC